AUAAAAAGUAACAUAUCCUCUCUCUUCGUCUGGGAGACACUCCGCCCACUGCCAGACAAGGAAGAUGACGCUCAUGGUGAUGAUUCUGUUGAAGGGGAGAACACUAAAAUGACAGGUAGGUUAUCUCGAUAAAGUCAUCAUCCCAUCACAAAAUGCUACCAGAGCUUUUGGACACGUGCUGUUCAUUCUCUUAAACAGCGAGUGGACAUAUGACCACAAAACUAUUCAUUACAAAUAAAUAAAUAAAAGAUAA
rnacentral:misc_RNA from 1 species